UUCCGCCUUCGUUUCUCUCUCUCGUCUUGCUCUCCUACCAACAUCAUAGUUUCUGUCCCCUCUUCUUCUCCUCCAUCCUGCUUUCCCUUUAUUUAUCUUACUCCUUCCUUCUUCGGUGUGGUCUUGUUUUCUUUCUCUCUGAUCUUUAUCUUUCUCUGUCUUGUUUAGACUAUGGAGUUAGUUUUUGCCUUUAGUCGUCUUUCUUCUUCUUUAUCUUCUUCGUCAUCUUCUUCCAGCGGUUUCUGGGUUGCUAGGGUUUGGUGGUUUUGUUUCUUUCGAGAGGACGGAUGGUUGUGAAGAACAAGAUGUUGCGGUGUCGCGUUUUCUCAUGGUUGUUUUUGGAAUUGGUUGAUUUUGGUACAUUUUUAGGUUUUCAUGGCGGAUGCUGCGGCUAGCCCAGGCAGCCAGGAAAGCCCCCAUUCAGGCGACCAGAGCCCGCGGUCGAACGUUCGGGAGCAGGACCGGUUCCUGCCCAUCGCCAAUAUCAGCCGGAUCAUGAAGAAGGCGCUUCCAGCGAACGGGAAGAUAGCCAAGGAUGCGAAGGAAACCGUCCAGGAAUGCGUCUCGGAGUUCAUCAGCUUCAUCACAAGCGAAGCGAGCGAUAAAUGCCAGAGGGAGAAGAGGAAGACGAUAAAUGGAGAUGAUUUACUGUGGGCUAUGGGGACUUUGGGUUUUGAAGAUUACAUUGAUCCUCUUAAGGUGUACUUAAACAUGUACAGAGAGGUAAUUUAUUUUGGUAGCUUUCGAUGCUAAAUGCAGAAGCUGAUAUUUGUUUAGAGGUUGAACUGAUGCUUCUUUCAUUCUUUUCUUCUCUUUUGUUGGCUUUGCUUGGCGAUUGCUCUGAUCGUCGACGUUCUACAGAUGGAGGUACCUAGCUUGAUUUUGUUAAAGAAUUUCAGUGGCUUCUAUUGAUUAAUAUAUAUGCUUCUUGGCUGCUUGUAGCUAUUCGGCCAUGGUUUGGCUUGAUGCGCAGGGCAUUUAGAUUUGUACUACAUAGCACCUUCUUAAGAAGUGGCAGAACCGCAAAAUUUCUUGGGAACUUUUUCUUUUUCGUUUUCCCCGUUGUUGUGGGAGUGGCUUACCUUAUUUUCUUGCUCUGAUUUGAGGGAGGUCAAUUUCUUAUGUUCCUUUUUGUUUCUGAUGCUGUUGGUUGCUGGUGGAUUUUCCCAAAAAAAAAAAAAAAAUCUUUGAGAAAUUUAUGUCAAGUGAUAUAUUUUUUCUGUGUCAACUUAAAUGCAUUGGAUAUUUGUACCUCUGGGCAAGAAGAUUUCCUUGAAUAUUUGUUGUGCUCAGCCAUGUUUCACGUUUUGAAAUGAAACUGUUAAGUUAGCCCGAGCUCAUUAAUCUUGUACAUUAUGUAUAUGUAUACUUUUGUAACUUGUCUUCCCAUUUUGGAUCCACAUUGCGUCAGGGUGAUAGUAAAGGUUCGAAAGGUGGAGAUGUCAGCAAAAAAGAUGGUUCGGGAUAUCCACCAGGCUCUGGUGCCCCGGGGAUGGCUCAUCAAGGUGCAUACAAUCAAGGGAUGAGUUAUAUGCAGCCACAGUAGGUGUACCUAGUUGAGCAUCACUAGGAGGCGUGAUGGAGGUGACUGAUGCCAUCCUGUUGCGUCUUUGUGCUUCUCUUCUCUAUUCUGUUGCUGCAUCCUUUCUAAGGAAUCCAAGUUAUGUGGAUGAGAAAAAGUUGGUUUAACAUCCUUGACGUUAUGACUCGUGCUGCCAAAUUGAUGAUAAGGCAGUUGAUUUGAUGUUUGGGAAGUUGGGAUUUCUCUUUGAGCAUAUUAUAGAAUGUUUGUGAUGAAUCCGUUGUAUUUAUCUCUCAGAGAAAGCACCUUGAUGUACCAACUCAUUGGUUAUAAAUAUGGUUGAUAGUUGUUGAUGC